UGCCUAAAACAUAUCUUUAAUGCAUCAAAUCCCAUUAUAACUCCGCAGUUAAGCGCACUCGGGCUAGAGUGGUAUUGGGAUGGGUGACCGCCUGGUAAGUCCUAGUAUUUUACAUGC
rnacentral:rRNA from 1 species